rnacentral:tRNA from 1 species
CAAGAUGUAGCUUAAACCAAAGCAUCUGGCCUACACCCAGAAGAUUUCAUAAUAAACUGACCAUCUUGA